rnacentral:rRNA from 1 species
UACGAAGGGGGCUAGCGUUGUUCGGAAUUACUGGGCGUAAAGAGCGUGUAGGCGGUUAGGUUAGUUAGAGGUGAAAUCCCAGAGCUCAACUCUGGAAUUGCCUUUAAUACUGCCUAACUUGAGAUCGUGAGGGGAUAGCGGAAUACCCAGUGUAGAGGUGAAAUUCGUAGAUAUUGGGUAGAACACCAGUGGCGAAGGCGGCUAUCUGGCACGAUACUGACGCUGAGACGCGAAAGCGUGGGGAGCAAACAGG